UCCGAACAUCGGUCGUUUGCCGAUCUUGAGUCGGUGAGGUGUGUUCGGUUGGUCGGUUGAGAGUAGUGUCAGCUUGCUUGAUUGAUGUUCGGUCGGUAGUCAUUUUCAGGAUCAUGUCUGUUUGUGGGGCCAGAGUCAGGUGUCGGUCAAUCUGCGCUGGAGAUCAGUCGAUUUAUGGAGGUCGGUUGGUUUAUCCCAACAGUUGCCCCUCCCACUUCUGAGUUCAAUGGUGAGUCGCCGCGUGCAUCGCCACAUGGUCAGUUGCCUUGGACGAAAGGAGUUGUUGUCUAUCAUGUCGAAUCCUGACUCUGGCAUCACAUUCUCUGGAGUAUGAUUGAUCAACCACUUUGUCAUCUUUGAGUUAUCGUAUCAGCAGGAAGAUCUGGUGUCAGGCGUUGUUUGUGGAAGAUGAGCCGACGUCAGGUAUUAUAUCGGGAAGGUGAACUGGCAUCGUGCGAUUUAAUUCUGGCAUGUAGAUCUUCGCCACGUGUCAAGGUGUCACUGGGUCGGAGUUGUGCACGCGGAUGGAAGUGAUGUGGUUUAAUCUGGUGCAAGUGCAUUGAACCGU
rnacentral:lncRNA from 1 species